AUGCCUUAAACUAAUGAGUAAGGAAGAUAACGAUUCGGGAUGACAACUGAAUCUUCACUGCUAAUGUGAGACCAGUCCUUGAAUGGGUAAAGGUUGCCCCUAAGGUGACUCACCUACUUUGCAUAAUGCCUGGGAGUUGUGAUCUGUCCA
rnacentral:snRNA from 1 species